GGGGGCACGUAACCUCCAUCCACACACCGGCUGCCCGGAUACAGGGCUAUAUUUAGAUUGACCUAUGUUGUUGUUGACGCGUGACCUAUGCAAAUGUAGCACUUGUUAACUCAAUGUCCAUUCACUCUUGAAACAAGUAGGUCCAUAGUUUUAGAGGGUUUCUUCUACAUUUUCUUAUUAUAAUUGUAUAAGAAUGACAAUAAUGUCUAGGUGGAAGUUCCUUUGAGUAUAUUAUGUCAUUUACGGGUGUAAGUAAUCCGUAACAGCAUUUUGUUGAGGGUGCAAUAAUAUUUUAGAGACACUUGGUGAUGUGUCCGCAUCGUGCGGGAGCGCGCGAAACAGGCACUGCUUGUCUUCCAACUUUUGGACGGCAGUCACUUAUUUUGUAGCCGGGAUUUUCUCGGUGAGAAUUCACCUUUCCUUUGCUGUUUGCCAGCAUAAUCAUGUGCUGAGUGGGAAGGUGGGCGCCUCUGGAACCUGUGGCAAUAUGUAGGCGCGGUCUACUGUGAGACCUUCAUUUAUUGCACCUGGGGAUCUUUACUACACGGGAUCUUUACUAUACGGGAUCUUUACUAUACGGGAUCUUUACUAUACGGGAUCUUUACUAUACGGGAUCUUUACUAUACGGGAUCUUUACUAUACGUGAUCUUUUGCCUGGUGAUCUGUCUUUGCAUCGUGACCGGGAUCCACACACAUAGCACAUAUACUGGGGAAGUUUUGGGAUCAACAUCUGUUCAUCAUGUUCAUUAACUGCAACUGAUCUAAUUAACUCAUUGGUUAUUCUACUGAUUUGCUGAUGAUUGAAUAAAUUCUCUAUUAAUCGCUGAAAUUGAACUGAACUGGUGAUUCCGUGUGAUUCCAUCUGGGGCAGCCUCCAACACACUUAUCCUGAUUUAGUUUGGGAUCAAACUCCCUCAUCAUGCUGUGACACCGCAGUAUUCAAAUCACUUCAAAAAUGGCGACGAGGAUGGGAUGGAGUGUGUUGCUUGUUGAUCUCGUCGUGAUCCUUCAUCAUCGGUCAUCAAAUUCAAAGAUCCCCUGGUGCACGUUUCAACCUUUCAAGUCCUGCGACUGUGGAGGAUGUGGCUACUGAUGUCCUUCAGUGGGAGAUCUGUAAAUCGGCAGUUUUCUCAAAUUUUGUAUGUAUUUUUACAUGUUUAUUGCACACGUGUAUAACCCGUUUACAGUGAUGGUCUUUGUGCAUUGUUUAUAUGAACCCAUUUUUUAUUGACAUAUUUAGCUGCCUUUGUCAAUAGAAUUUUCAUGUCAAUGGUGCCCAUAGAGGAGCCGUACGUAUAUUCAUUGACCAGUUUCAUCUGUGUCUGUUUUUCAUAUUUUGAGCCAAUGUUGCAUGGUUGGUGAUUUGUAGGAUG